CGCCCCGGCGCCCCGCUGGCCCGGGACCGCGGCGUCAGCGACCCUGCCUAGCCCUGCCCUGUCCUACCGCCACGGGCGCUGACGGCAGCAGCGGCGAACCACGGUUCCCGGGGUACCUGCGCCGGGUGCCAGGACAAGGGGAGGCGCGGCCGGGCGGUGAGAGGUGCCCUUUUCCUCCCCGAGCCGGGUCGGCCGGCCGGCUCACCUUGUGGCUCUGCUGAGGGAUGAAUAAUUAGGCCAGGACUGGGAAGAGAGGGCAUCUGAGAAGAUGGAGCACCUUCCAGGUGGGGAGGCAACACUGCUCCUCUAAGCAAGAGGACCUGACAAUCCAUACAGAGGAAACUUUGCAGGGCUGGGCUGAAGAACUCUCUGCUUGACCUGUGUGUCUGGCCUCCCUGCCUCCUGAGGAGGCUGUUUCUCUCUAGACUCCAUUUACUCAGUACUCAAUCUGGUUUUGCUUCUGGGCAUCCACUUUGCCUCAAUCUCCCCCUCACUGGAGCCUUUAUUAAUAAGUGUCUCUAUUAAUUUUUGUUGCCAAAAUUAAAAUAAAUACACCCUCUCUUAUUA